GGAUCAGGUAGGGAUACCCGCUGAACUUAAGCAAAUCAAUAAGCGGAGGAAAAGAANCCAACAGGGAUUNCCUCAGUAACGGCGAGUGAAGCGGUAACAGCUCAAAUUUGAANUCUGGCUCUNUUAGGNUCCGAGUUGUAAUUUGUAGAAGAUGCUUUGGGUGUGGCCCUGGUCUAAGUUCCUUGGAACAGGACGUCAUAGAGGGUGAGAAUCCCGUAUGUGACUAGGUGCUUUCGCCCGUGUAAAGCUCUUUCGACGAGUCGAGUUGUUUGGGAAUGCAGCUCAAAAUGGGUGGUAAAUUUCAUCUAAAGCUAAAUAUUGGCCAGAGACCGAUAGCGCACAAGUAGAGUGAUCGAAAGAUGAAAAGCACUUUGGAAAGAGAGUUAAACAGUACGUGAAAUUGUUGAAAGGGAAGCGCUUGCAACCAGACUUAGUUGCGGCCGAUCAUCUAGGGUUCUCCCUGGUGCACUCGGUCGUAUCUAGGCCAGCAUCGGUUUGGGUGGUGGGAUAAAGGCCUUGGGAAUGUAGCUUCUUUCGGGGAGUGUUAUAGCCCUCGGUGCAAUGCCGCCUACCCGGACCGAGGACCGCGCUUCGGCUAGGAUGCUGGCGUAAUGGUUGUAAGCGACC
rnacentral:rRNA from 1 species